rnacentral:rRNA from 1 species
AUUGAACGCUGGCGGCAUGCUUUACACAUGCAAGUCGAACGGCAGCGCGGGCUUCGGCCUGGCGGCGAGUGGCGAACGGGUGAGUAAUGCAUCGGAACGUGCCCCGUAGUGGGGGAUAGCACGGCGAAAGCCGGAUUAAUACCGCAUACGACCUGAGGGUGAUAGCGGGGGACCGAAAGGCCUCGCGCUAUUGCAGCGGCCGAUGUCGGAUUAGCUAGUUGGUGGGGUGAAGGCUUACCAAGGGGACGAUCCGUAGCUGGUCUGAGAGGACGACCAGCCACCCUGGGACUGGGCCACGGCCCAGACUCCUGCGGGAGGCAGCAGUCGGGAAUUUUGGACAAUGGGGGCAACCCUUAUCCAGCCAUGCCGCGUGCGGGAAGAAGGCCUUCGGGUUGUAAACCGCUUUUGUUCGGGAAGAAAUCCUCUGGGCUAAUACCCCGGGGGGAUGACGGUACCGGAAGAAUAAGCACCGGCUAACUACGUG